GACGAACGCUGGCGGCGUGCUUAACACAUGCAAGUCGAACGAAGAGCGAUGGAAGCUUGCUUCUAUCAAUCUUAGUGGCGAACGGGUGAGUAACGCGUAAUCAACCUGCCCUUCAGAGGGGGACAACAGUUGGAAACGACUGCUAAUACCGCAUACGAUCUAACCUCGGCAUCGAGGAUAGAUGAAAGGUGGCCUCUACAUGUAAGCUAUCACUGAAGGAGGGGAUUGCGUCUGAUUAGCUAGUUGGAGGGGUAACGGCCCACCAAGGCGAUGAUCAGUAGCCGGUCUGAGAGGAUGAACGGCCACAUUGGGACUGAGACACGGCCCAGACUCCUACGGGAGGCAGCAGUGGGGAAUCUUCCGCAAUGGACGAAAGUCUGACGGAGCAACGCCGCGUGAGUGAUGACGGCCUUCGGGUUGUAAAGCCCUGUUAAUCGGGACGAAAGGCCUUCUUGCGAAUAGUGAGAAGGAUUGACGGUACCGGAAUAGAAAGCCACGGCUAACUACGUG
rnacentral:rRNA from 1 species